GACGAACGCUGGCGGCGUGCUUAACACAUGCAAGUCGAACGGAAAGGCCCUGCUUUUGUGGGGUGCUCGAGUGGCGAACGGGUGAGUAACACGUGAGUAACCUGCCCUUGACUUUGGGAUAACUUCAGGAAACUGGGGCUAAUACCGGAUAGGAGCUCCUGCUGCAUGGUGGGGGUUGGAAAGUUUCGGCGGUUGGGGAUGGACUCGCGGCUUAUCAGCUUGUUGGUGGGGUAGUGGCUUACCAAGGCUUUGACGGGUAGCCGGCCUGAGAGGGUGACCGGCCACAUUGGGACUGAGAUACGGCCCAGACUCCUACGGGAGGCAGCAGUGGGGAAUAUUGCACAAUGGGCGGAAGCCUGAUGCAGCAACGCCGCGUGCGGGAUGACGGCUUCGGGUUGUAAACCGCUUUCGCCUGUGACGAAGCGUGAGUGACGGUAAUGGGUAAAGAAGCACCGGCUAACUACGUG
rnacentral:rRNA from 1 species